AUACGGAGGGUGCAAGCGUUAAUCGGAAUUACUGGGCGUAAAGCGUACGUAGGCGGUUCGUUAAGUUAGAUGUGAAAGCCCCGGGCUUAACCUGGAAACUGCAUUUAAAACUGGCGAACUAGAGUUGAGUAGAGGGGAGUGGAAUUUCAGGUGUAGCGGUGAAAUGCGUAGAGAUCUGAAGGAACACCAGUGGCGAAGGCGACUCCCUGGACUCGAACUGACGCUGAGGUACGAAAGCGUGGGUAGCAAACGGGAUUAGAAACCCCAGUAGUCC
rnacentral:rRNA from 1 species